CUGGCCCCCGGCCUCUUGAGUGAGAUGGGCGCACAACCCUAGAGUCUGUCAAGACUGGCCCGUACGGGCAGGGGUACCUUUACCUUUUACCUUAUCAAUAAAAGUAAAUGAUACCAUGGAAAUUCUCUUGAAUCUUGCUGUUUGGAUCAUUGUAGCAGCUGCUGGGGAAUGAAUUUGCAGUGACUGGGCUUUUACUAGAUUGAAUCUUCCUCCUGUUUAGCCUUAUUGCUCCCUUUUGUUGUCUUACAGAAAUAUUGAUCCACUGUUGCUCAGUUCAGAGAAGCUUCAUUUUGUUUAAUUCAUUACUAUUACAUCCCACUUUCCUCCAAGGGACUCUGAGUUAUAUUCUCAUAGCUACCUUCUAAGGUAGGUUAUGGUGACAACAGAUCAAGGUCAGCCAAUGAACUUCAUUAGUCAAGCAGCAUUUUGUAUUUGGGGUUUCAACCAUCCAAACCAAACCAAUCCCCAGCCCUGCCAUCAAAGGCCCCAGAGCAUCUGACAGAACUUCCUGGAUCGUGGAUUUCAGCACUAGCUAGCUUACCAACAGUGUCAAAGAACAGCCACAAUUCCUCUUAAUUAUUAUUCUACAGGAGUUGAGUACCACACCGUAAUCACCGUAUACCUACCACCCUUUUUUCAAAUCCUUUCCCCAAAAGUUGUUUAACUCAUUGGGGCUCUUUCAUUACACAAACUGAGCAUUGGAGCUUAUCCCCAGAAGAAUCGGGGGCAGGGGGGGGGAGCGCGCUAAUUUCUGGGAAAGACAAAUGAGCUUAAAAUCUUUGCAUAAAGAGCCUCCUUGCAAAUUCUGCAGAGCAAACAUCUCUGCCUGGGGAACUGCAAGCCUGUGUCUGACUUAGCUAGAUUUUCCACCCACUCGUUUUUGAAAUUCAGUAAAUUAUAGAUUUGUUUUCUUCCUCUCUCAGCCUGUGUUGUAUAAGUGAAACACAAAUAGGCAUUGGGAUGGUUGCUGGAACUGCCUUUGGAGCUCACUUUUUCUUCUCUCUGCAGUUCUCAUGGAAACAUGUCAGCUGCAGGAGGAAAUGAGGGAACCGCAAAUGAAAGGAAUUCCUAGGGCAUUUCCGUAUGAAAUUGUUACCUUCAAGCAAGCUACACUUGCUGUUAUCUAUAAAAAAAACAAUCUAGUGGGGAGGUUGUACUAGAAUGAAGGAAGCAGUUCCCUGAGCACCCCAAGCCCAAUUUUUGGUCCACCAAGUAAUAGUUUUAUUGAGCUUACCCUUUUCCUUUUAGUAAGAAGUGAGCAUUUCAAUGCUUAUUAGUAAUGAUGAGAUAUCUGUUAAGCCAUCUUUGCCCUGUCCGCCUCUUCUGCACUCUCUCUUUGGAGCAUAAGUAGGUGGCUUGAGUUGCUGUGCUUAAUAACAAUAACUGCUCUUUAUGGAAGAAUGUCUAAGGACUGCACUGUCAAAGCAUUAGGAGCCUGUCUUAUACCAAAACAGACUGUCUAGUUCAGUGUUGCUUACACCAGAGGUAACCAGUCUGGUGCCCUCCAUAUAUUGUUGCCCUCUCAAUACCCUGCUGCCUUCCUCUGCUUCCCUACAGCAUCUGUUGCCUGAGGCAGCUGCUUCACUCUGUCUAAUGGAGCCAGUCCUGAGUGAGUCCAGAGUUCAGUGAGGCUUACACUGCAGCAGGUGUGUCAAAGGUUUGCAACCUUCUCUCCUGGCUCGUGUACGUAGAGCUCCACAUUGUCUGCCUUUCCUAAUUGCUUUUCUUUUUGGCUUGUGUAAGUGAAAGCUCCACAUUGUCCUAAUUACCUAAUGAACAUUUCCGCUUACCUAUAUGGUUUCUAGAAAUGCAGAAGAAACUGACUCAUUCAGACAUAUUGACUAAUGCUUCUUGGGUCAAGAGAGACUCAAAAUAGGCAAUUCUUUCUCUCAGCAUAUGUUCCAAUGGCAGAGAUUGUCGCCUCUCUUUCCAUUUCUAGCUCCACGUUUUCCAAUGUUUUGUAGUAGGCAAGUAUGUCACAGCAUAUGGUUGCUAAACCGAGCACACAUCAGCCAACUUGCUGGCUCCAUAAAUGCAUUAUUUUUGUUCUGUGUGGGUAGUUGUGUAGCAUGUUUUUUCCCCUUAAUGUGAUGAAAAUAUACCUGAUUCUGUUUGCUUAUAAGGUAAUGGCUAUUUUGAAUGCUUUCCUUAUUUUAAACAAUGGCAAUCCUUGUCAUGAGUGGCUAUCUUUAAAACACUUUCCUUAACUCACUUUAGGAAAGGGGAUGAGUAAUUAAAGUUAUUAAUCUAAACGUUACAAGUUGUAGCUGAAGUAGGGUUUCCAGGUCAGAUCUUCUGAAUUCUGAGAUCACACACUCCCACUGAUAUAUCAUAUACCUCAGGAGUGGAGAACUGGGUCUGGUGAAAAGGUCUUGCCAGGUGUUGCUACUUCAACUCCUUUCAUAAGCUGGGGUUGAUGGGAGUUCAGCGACAUCUGGGAAGGCCAUAGAUCCCCCACCUGUGCUCUAAAAGCUGGUUUUGUUUGUACAGCGGUUCUAUCCACAAAGGUUUGAAAAGAUCUUUGCCAUAUUAAAAUGCAAUGUUACUUCCCUAGUGUGGUGAAAGUUUCAGUGCUGGUUGGGUUGUUGUGACUGUUCCUUGAUUCUUAAAUGCUCUAAGAGCACCUGGCCAUAAAAGUGCAUCAACAGAUCUCUAA